rnacentral:lncRNA from 1 species
GCCUUUCACCUUCUGCCAUGAUUGUGAGGCCUCCCCAGCCACGUGGAACUGAAGUCACGGGGUGACUCCAAGCAGGGCCCCCUUUGCAUUCAGCCUGCCCUUCUCUCAGCCCAGUCAUGCUGGCACCAGAUGAGCUGCUGCAGACUCAUGAGGAAAGAGUCAAGACAGGCUCUUUGAAACCUCCCUCUCCAGGCAUGCCACGUGAACAGAAGUUCCAGGAGACAGAAGAGAGGGGUGACAAGAAAUUGCCCUGAUCAAACUGCCACAGUGACACACCAUGAAAAACACACAGAGAUUGGCUCUGUGGCAAUGGCAUCAUACCCAGGUCACAGGUGCAAAUUUGGUGCAGCAAAGCAGCAUUAAAUAUUUUGCAUUAAAUUGAUGUUAAUUUGC